GCCAUGUUUAUAUGUCUCUCUCCAACAGUAACUCCCUCCAUUGUUUCCAUCCUUGUCAGCUUUUUCUCUCUCUCUCUCUCUCUCUCUCUCUCUCACUCUCACUCAGGUCUUGAGGUCUUCACCAUGGACUUAGAUCUCAGUCGUGUCAUAUGCUGGUUUUGCUCCACGGUUUCUCGCUUAUUGGUUUUCUCCCCAAUCUCUUAUAUUUUGUUUUCUUUUAUCUCAGUUUUGUUUGUUGAUCUGCCUUUUUGUAGCUAAUCGCCAGAAUCUGGAUACGAGAGUUACAAUACCAACUGGGGCUUUCUUCCCUGUGCCGGAAUCCAACUCGAUCGGCCACUCUUUUAAAACCGUUUUAUUCGCCGGAAUCUAAUUGGAGAAAUCCGAGCCCACAUAUCAAAAGUUAUUAAUUUUUUUAGAAAGUAUUGGUCUAUCAGCUGUUCUUUAUUGGGUUCAAAAAAUUAUGAAUAGGGUUUUGUUUUGUUCAAAUAGGUCCUUAUUCGAAAAUUGAAAGUUUUGUCCGAUGGUCGAGUUGGACAUGGUAGAUUCUUCUCGGUGUACCCCUCACGUAUUCACUUUAUGUUCCAACCACUGGUAACCAGCCACGUCAUGUUUUGCUCGUGGCCUUGGGCUAAGUUGUACAUGAGAGCUCGCAAUUUUUUCUUUAUUUCAUGCUUGGGUUUCGCUUUUCUUAAGGAUCUGAGGGUCUUUCUAAGGAAAUGUUGGGAGUUAUAGCUUCUUCUUUCUUCCACAAUAUUCAAUUAAUUAGGCUGUGUGCAUGGAUAAUAGAUUGACAGUCAGUUGUUUGCGGGUGUGGCAUCAUCAAGAUUCACAUGCAAAUGCACGGUGAGUGAUGCAAAAUCUCUCUUCCAAAGUUCUUUGAAAGUGAGAAUCUUGAUGAUGCUGCAUCGGCAAUAAAACGACUAUACAAAAAGGGAUUCCCCACGACAACUCAACGCUGCCGCUUUUGCAGUUGAACCACCAGAUCUGUGAAUAUUCCUUCUGAUCAAAAUUUGCUAGGAUGGAAAUGGCAUCUUUCAGGAACUUCUUUCUGGAGAUGGGGAUAAGACUAUGUCUAUAGCUUGAAAGAGAGAAUCUUUUGAUGAUGCUGCAUGAGCUAGGAUAUAUAUAUAUUCUCCAAAGGAAAGGCAAGGGAACAUUUACUAUUCUCAUGAGUUUUCUGAGAAUGGAUUGGAAAACUUGAGCAGAAGCUGAUGAGAAGAAAGGCCGGUGUCUCUUAAGCAAGACUUAUAGCAGCGGAAUCAAAUUGAUAAUCAAUAUGGGUAUCACGGUUUCUUCUUCUGGUGUUAGCUAAAAUUCGAUGAUUGGUUUUUGCUAUUUUGCUCAGUGACUCACAAGGAUUAUUAGACCAGGAAAAAUCAGUGUACAUUAAUCUUCCACACACACACACACAUAUAUAUAUAUAUAGCAUUGGCAGGGCUCUCUCUCUCUCUCUCUCUUGCAUGUAAAACAUUUUAGGGUUUCGGCUUUCAUAGUGGGUGACAAGUUACUCGUGGUUUUUGAAUUUUACAGUUCUUAAUUAUUAACUCCAGGUAGGAGAUUAUUCAUAUUGUUCUUGUAUUGUUUGGACACUUACCGCUAACUCUAGCAUUGUGUAGAAGCUCAUGAGAAUUGAAUUUACUUAUGCAUGUGAGAAACUUGUGCUUUAUUUGAAAGAACCUCACACUAUCUGGAAGAUGCAAUCUACUUCUUGUGCCACUCAAAGUUCUAUAUAUAUAUAUAUAUAUGAAUUCUUCAUAGUUUAUAAGAAGAAUAUACAAGCCAUUUAAAGGUAAAACUGUCAUUCAGAUGUAUCUGAAUCAAAUUAACAGCACUUUGUUUAAUAUUUCAUGUAUAAAAAUAGUGGAUUUCAAGGAAAAAAUUACUAUUUUAAUUAACAUAUCACUAAUAGGCAGUCCCCAAAUGAACAUUUUUUCUGAUUGUACUAGUGUAAAUCAUGAACAGCGAAAAGGAUAGUGGAUAAGAUUGUAUUAUAUUAUGCAAAAUGUGCACCUUCCUACAUGCACAUGAAUGCUAGUAUAUAUCGAGAAAGUCUACAUGCCCAAAACCAUCAUGCAUGCAUGUACUGUCAUUAACAAAAAUAUUUGAAUCAAAUAAUAAAAAUAAAUAUGAAUAUUCUGUUGAACUUGACUCCUAGCUUGGAAGGAAUAAAUAAUUAACUACAUUAUUUUUUUUAAAAAAAAUAAAAAAUAAAAAGCCCUCAUUAGGUUCAGCA